rnacentral:rRNA from 1 species
UACGGAGGGUGCAAGCGUUAUCCGGAAUUACUGGGUUUAAAGGGUGCGUAGGCGGCGUUAUAAGUCAGAGGUGAAAGCCCACAGCUUAACUGUGGAAUUGCCUUUGAUACUGUAGUGCUUGAAUUAGGCUGAGGUCGGCGGAAUGUGACAUGUAGCGGUGAAAUGCAUAGAUAUGUCAUAGAACACCAAUUGCGAAGGCAGCUGACUAGACCUAUAUUGACGCUGAGGCACGAAAGCGUGGGGAGCGAACAGG